rnacentral:rRNA from 1 species
CCUACGGGUGGCAGCAGUAGGGAAUAUUGCUCAAUGGGGGAAACCCUGAAGCAGCAACGCCGCGUGGAGGAUGAAGGUUUUCGGAUUGUAAACUCCUUUUGUUAGAGAAGAUACUGACGGUAUCUAACGAAUAAGCACCGGCUAACUCCGUGCCAGCAGCCGCGGUAAUACGGAGGGUGCAAGCGUUACUCGGAAUCACUGGGCGUAAAGAGCGCGUAGGCGGGAUAGCAAGUCAGAUGUGAAAUCCUAGGGCUUAACCAUAGAACUGCAUUUGAAACUGUUAUUCUAGAGUAUGGGAGAGGUAGGUGGAAUUCUUGGUGUAGGGGUAAAAUCCGUAGAGAUCAAGAGGAAUACUCAUGGCGAAGGCGACCUGCUAGAACAUAACUGACGCUGAGGCGCGAAAGCGUGGGGAGCAAACAGGAUUAGAUACCCCGGUAGUC